CUCUCUCUCUCUACUGCUUGACAACAUAAAUCAAUGCUUGACAAUGCACCGAAAGCACACUGAAGGGAACGACAGAUGGGGCCCUAAGGAUGGGUGUAAAAUGUUGGGUGAAGAGGCUACGCAGCACCCCUCUGAUUAUGCAGCAACCAGCACUCGUGUGCUAGGGGUAUGCGAUAUUGAAAAAUAAAUAUCUUGAUAUUUUGAUGUACAACUCAUAUAAGUAGCUUUUUUCAUUAGAGAUAGUGCUUAUCACAUUUGAGAUGUCAGGCAAAUUUGGUGACAUGAAUGCUAUUUUGAAACAAUAAAACACGUUAAGCCUUUUCCUUAUUCUGGGCGUCAAUGAGAGAACAUUUAACAUACUAAACUUGAGUUAUUAUUGUAGACAAUAUAUACUGCACAAUAUAUAUCGCACACCCCUACCAUGAGCCCCCCCCCCCCCCCCAUGUCAGCUAAUGCACCUCCCCAGUUCUCCUCUAUGCAGAUGUGUGUUACUGUCGAUGGUCAAGACAGCAGAGUUGAGACAUUUUAGUUUCGUUUGAAGAGAAGAGUAAAAGUCCUGGUUGAUACAGGCUGUAUUAACUGGUGUUGUGCUGAUCUGUUUUGGGGUUAAAAUCAUCAGUUACUGGAUAAGCGGUUGGGUUGGUGGGGGAUCUAAACCAAAACAAAGUGUAUUAAACGGCACGUUCAGGUGUGCGUAGUGAAAGGUCGUCAUGGCACUAUGCAUCACUCUGAGAGGGUGUUCCGUAGCCUCGGCGCCAGGGCCCCCCUGAUGGCAGUGCACCAACUCACUCACCGCCAUCACAGACAGGCAGGCCGAUCGCCGGGCCACUGAGCUCAGGCUGGCACUCCACUGGCCCGCCUAGCCAGCACGCCUCAGCCCAACCCAGCUCUGCGCUGAGGCUCCCCGCACCAGUCGGCUCUGACCCAGUCCCAGAGCAGGUGUCCAGCUCUUUUUAUUUUUGUACUUUGAAGCAAUCCUUGACUAAACCAACAAAGAAACAAAAAAAAGAAGAAAAUGAGAAGAAAACUAAGAUAUCAACACGGGACUGGUGGGCAUUUCAAUCAAGCCCACCUUGCCACUGGCUUUAAUGAACCAACAGACUCAGUAAUUACGACUCAGGUGGUGCGAAGCCCGGGCACCUGGCCACCGGCAGGAAGGAGCUGUGCCGAGGCCCGUGAUCUGAUCGAGGGUGGGGAGGGGGAUGGGGUCGCUGUCGUAGAAGCACAAAGAUGUGCCUCGUUAGGGAUAAAACAAAGACAAAUAUCAUUUAAAAAAAAGAAAAACAAGAAUAUAUUGGUUUGGUGGUGAUGACUGUAGCCUGUUUCAAAGUGUUCUUUUUUUGAGUGUGAGUAAUAAAACACUGAAGUUGAUUUAUGAGAAAA